rnacentral:rRNA from 1 species
UCCUUUGUUGCCAGCGAUUCGGUCGGGAACUCAAAGGAGACUGCCAGUGAUAAACUGGAGGAAGGUGGGGAUGACGUCAAGUCAUCAUGGCCCUUACGACCAGGGCUACACACGUGCUACAAUGGCGCAUACAAAGAGAAGCGACCUCGCGAGAGCAAGCGGACCUCAUAAAGUGCGUCGUAGUCCGGAUUGGAGUCUGCAACUCGACUCCAUGAAGUCGGAAUCGCUAGUAAUCGUGGAUCAGAAUGCCACGGUGAAUACGUUCCCGGGCCUUGUACACACCGCCCGUCACACCAUGGGAGUGGGUUGCAAAAGAAGUAGGUAGCUUAACCUUCGGGAGGGCGCUUACCACUUUGUGAUUCAUGACUGGGGUGAAGUCGUAACAAGGUAACCGUAGGGGAACCUGCGGUUGGAUCACCUCCUUACCUUAAAGAAGC